rnacentral:rRNA from 1 species
CAGCCGCCGCGGUAAUACGGAGGGUGCAAGCGUUAAUCGGAAUUACUGGGCGUAAAGCGCACGCAGGCGGUCUGACAAGUCAGAUGUGAAAUCCCCGGGCUUAACCUGGGAACUGCAUUUGAAACUGUCAGGCUGGAGUCUUGUAGAGGGGGGUGGAAUUCCAGGUGUAGCGGUGAAAUGCGUAGAGAUCUGGAGGAAUACCGGUGGCGAAGGCGGCCCCCUGGACAAAGACUGACGCUCAGGUGCGAAAGCGUGGGGAGCAAACAGGAUUAGAGACCCCUGUAGUCCCUGUCUCUUAUAU